UGCAGAGAGAGAUACCUGUUUCCCUCUGCUGCUCGCAGCCCUUUCUGGAUAAGACUUAGAGGAAAGCGCAGCUCAUGGCUGCUAAAUUUCGCUGUGCUGCGCCAAAUGCUUUCCCAGGGCCCCGAGGGAUGCCCUCCCGGAGUGCCGCUGUCGCCAUUCUGGAGCUCUCCUUCCGCCGCCACUACUGCCGCCACUCUGGAACUCACCAUCAGGGAAUUCAUGGAUUCUGGAAACUAUCCACCUUCAAGAUCACCAUCCUCCUGUUCUACAGUUUCAGAGUUAUCCAUCCAGGAUAGUGCUUCAUUAGCAUCAUCAUCAUCAGACACCCACAGCCACAUAUCACUAUCA